rnacentral:rRNA from 1 species
UACGGAGGGUGCGAGCGUUGUCCGGAAUCACUGGGCGUAAAGGGCGCGUAGGCGGCCUGAUAAGUAGGGGGUGAAAUCCUGCGGCUUAACCGCAGGGCUGCCUUCUAAACUGUCAGGCUAGAGCACGGUAGAGGCAGAUGGAAUUCCCGGUGUAGCGGUGGAAUGCGUAGAGAUCGGGAAGAACAUCAGUGGCGAAGGCGGUCUGCUGGGCCGUUGCUGACGCUGAGGCGCGACAGCGGUGGGGAGCAAACAGGAU